GGUGGGGCUGUUUGGCGAGUGUGAUUUCCUGCACCGGGGGGAGCUGCUGGCAGGGCAACAUGCUCCAGGUUAGAACACACACACACACACUGAGCUGAGCUGGGUGAUGUCAGUUACAGCAGAGCCGGACUGCAGGACUAACAGACUGAGCUGAUUCUUCACCAUGAGAUUUUAAUUCUACAGGAAACAGAAUUUAAAGUAUCAGUCUGCAGCAAUGAAGUCCCAUGAGGGAGAGCUGGUGAAAGAAAUCUCUAAGCUGCAGGCCAUGGUGCUGGAGCUCAGAGCUGGGUUUUCUCGGGCUUUGCUGGAACUGAAUCAGAUUCAGCUUGGAGACACGGAGCUGCAGACCCAGCUAGAGGAAACACGGCACGGCUGUAACAAGCGGGCACUGCACCUGGAAACUCUGGUGCUGUCUCUCAGGGAGGAAUUGGAAGAUGUUCGCUGUCAUAUUCGGCAGAUCUGUGAUGAUCAGGUUAAACCAGAGCAAGCGAACAACAGCACAGCACCACAGAACGACAGCACUCCUGGAUGUAGUGGGAUGAAGGAUGUUGGCAGCAAUGUUAAUGGCGUUGCUGAUAGUAAUACAGGUGCUGUAUCCCCACCCCUUCACUCUGCUGGUGGAGCCCUCCUGGUACACUGCUACCUGCAGGGUCUUUCGGCUGGACGUAGUUCAGGCAGAGACGCUCAGGUAAAAGCGGAGAGACUCCAGAGCUGCUCAUUGCAAGGAAGGAGGCAGCGUGUAGCCGUGUCACUGCUGCGGUCGGAGUGGGACUAUGUGUCUAGUCUGGGUCUGCUGUACGACAAAUACAAAGCUACACCUACAACCAGCAGCAACUUAGAUUUACAUAAAGCUUUUGCGAAGCACGUGGAUCAGAUGCUGCAGAGACACCUGCAGUUCAGGAACUGUUUGGAGGAGCGACUGACUCUGGAUCAGCGGAGCUGGGCUGUGGGAGAGGAUUUUCUCAAACUGACCGGACAGGAGAAUUCAGCAUUCUGUGACGCGUAUCUUGGCUACAUGACCGCUCUGGCAUCCAUCCUGACCGCAGAGUUCAGCCGAGAACAGCCGGACAAGCCGCAACACACGCAGGAGGAGGAGGAGAAGGAAAGCUUUCGACUACUGUCCCUGCUGUUAGCACCUGUGUCACGCUUACACGCCUACCUGAACACCAUACAGCUGCUGAGGCUGAACUGAAACAAUAAUUAACGCGGUGGAAGGAUCACACAUGGAGCUCUGUGCAGCAGUAAACAGCAGGAGGUAUUAAACUAGUACUAAGUAUUAAACUUUAGGGUAGCUAACUAAGUUAAGUAAAGCUAAGCUAAGUAAACAAAAAAAAAACUGUAAUAAAAGAAGACUUUCUUUUAAAGCCA
rnacentral:lncRNA from 1 species